GCUCUGGUGGCCUAGUGGUUAGAGCGUCCGCCUUGGAUGCGUGAGGUCGUGGGUUCAAACCCCGGCCGUGUCAGAGUCA